UCCGCGCCCCACCUCAGGAGUAGAAUAGGCUGCGUUCCUCUUGGAACGCGCCAUGGAACCAGAGUCUUGGUGACGAGUGCUGCGUUCGCUCCCUCAGUCCACUCCGCCAGCCCUCCACCACUGCGCCCCGCCAGCCCGCCCCUCUCCUGUGCCAGGAACUGACAGGCACCAUGCCCCACCAAUACCCAGCACUCACCCCGGAGCAGAAGAAGGAGCUCUGUGACAUCGCUCACCGGAUUGUGGCUCCGGGCAAGGGCAUCCUGGCUGCAGGUGAGUCCACCGGGAGCAUCACCAAGCGACUGCAGUCCAUUGGUACCGAGAAGACGGAGGAGAACCGGCGCUUCUACCGCCACCUGCUGCUGACCGCCGACAACCGCGUGAAUCCCUGCAUCGGGGGCGUCAUCCUCUUCCACGAAACGCUCUACCAGAAGGCCGAUGAUGGGCGUCCCUUCCCCCAAGUUAUCAAAGCCAAGGGCGGUGUCGUGGGCAUCAAGGUAGACAAAGGUGUGGUACCCCUGGCAGGAACAAAUGGCAAGACAACCACCCAAGGGCUGGAUGGGCUGUCCGAGCGCUGUGCCCAGUAUGAGAAGGACAGAGCUGACUUUGCCAAGGGGCGUUGUGUG